UCCCAAGUAGCUCAGCUGGUAAAGAAUCCACCUGCAAUGCGGGAGACCUGGGUUCCAUCCCUAGGUUGGGAA
rnacentral:tRNA from 1 species